AUUGAACGCUGGCGGCAUGCCUAACACAUGCAAGUCGAACGGUAACAGGGGCUUCGGCCCGCUGACGAGUGGCGGACGGGUGAGUAACGCGUAGGAAUCUUCCCAGUAGCGGGGGAUAGCUCGGCGAAAGCCGGAUUAAUACCGCAUACGCCCCACGGGGGAAAGCAGGGGAUCGUAAGACCUUGCACUAUUGGAUGAGCCUACGUCUGAUUAGCUAGUUGGUAGGUAAAAGCCUACCAAGGCGACGAUCAGUAGCUGGUCUGAGAGGACGAUCAGCCACACUGGGACUGAGACACGGCCCAGACUCCUACGGGAGGCAGCAGUGGGGAAUAUUGGACAAUGGGCGCAAGCCUGAUCCAGCAAUGCCGCGUGUGUGAAGAAGGCCUGCGGGUUGUAAAGCACUUUCAGCGGGGAAGAAAAGCUUAGGCCGAAUACCUCUAAGUCUUGACGUCACCCGCAGAAGAAGCACCGGCUAACUCCGUGCCAGCAG
rnacentral:rRNA from 1 species